rnacentral:lncRNA from 1 species
GGUUUUAUUAAUAUGCAUUCUAGCAUAUUAUAAGGGAUUAUUACAAAAUAAUCAUUUAAAGAAGCUUAUAAAUCAUCUUGUUUUAUAAUUAUUAGGCUGAUACUUCUGAAAAAGUUAUAAUAAUACAUUGUUAAGCUUAAGUCUUCUGUUUAAGAUGAUAUCAGAUCUUUUAAAGUAAAUCUUAUUACCUAGACCCAACCUCUUUCA